rnacentral:rRNA from 1 species
UUGGAGGGCAAGUCUGGUGCCAGCAGCCGCGGUAAUUCCAGCUCCAAUAGCGUAUAUUAAAGUUGUUGCAGUUAAAAAGCUCGUAGUUGAAUUUCGGGAUCGACGGGUCGGUCGCGCCUCUGGUGUGUACUGGCCCUGUCGGUUUCUCCCUUCUGACGAACCACGAUGUCAUUAAUUUGGUGUCGUGGGAAAUCAGGACUGUUACUUUGAAAAAAUUAGAGUGUUUAAAGCAAGCAUUCGCUUGAAUACAUUAGCAUGGAAUAAUGAAAUAGGACGUUUGAUCUUAUUUUGUUGGUUUCUAAGAUCGACGUAAUGAUUAAUAGGGAUAGUUGGGGGCAUUAGUAUUCAAUUGUCAGAGGUGAAAUUCUUGGAUUUAUUGAAGACUAACUACUGCGAAAGCAUUUGCCAAGGAUGUUUUCAUUAAUCAAGAACGAAAGUUAGGGGAUCGAAGACGAUCAGAUACCGUCGUAGUCUUAACCAUAAACUAUGCCGACUAGGGAUCGGAUGAUGUUAAUUUUUUAAUGACUCAUUCGGCGCCUUACGGGAAAC